GAUGAACGCUGGCGGCGUGCCUAAUACAUGCAAGUCGAGCGAACAGACGCGGAGCUUGCUCCUCUGUCGUUAGCGGCGGAUGGGUGAGUAACACGUGGAUAACCUACCUAUAAGACUGAGAUAACUUCGGGAAACCGGAGCACAUACCGGGUAAUAUAUCGAACCGCAUGGUUCUAUAGAGAAAGACGGUUUUGCUGUCACCUAUCGAUGGAUCCGCGCCGCAUUGGCUAGUUGGUACGGUAACGGGUUACCAAGGCACCGAUCGGUAGCCGACCUGGGAGGGUGAUCGGCCACACUGGAGCGGAGACGCGGACCAUACGACUACGAGAGGGAGCAGUAGGGAAUGGUACGCAGUGGUCGAAAGCAUGACGGAGUAAGGGCGCGUGAGUGAUGACGGUGUUGGGAUCGUGAAACUCGGUUAUGGGUUAAAAACAAAUGUCUAAGUGACUGUACACAUCGUGACGGUACCUAAACAGGAAGCCACGGCUAACUACGUG
rnacentral:rRNA from 1 species